rnacentral:lncRNA from 1 species
UUUUUUUUUUUUUUUUAACUGCACUGCACAGUUUGCAAACUGCACAGAUUGCAAUUUGCAACUGCACAAUCACAGUGACACUGCAUUUAUGCAGAUUUUGCACAAAUUCACCAUUAUUCACAUCUAAUCUAAAUACAAAGUCUAACAUCCAAGUUCAUAAAUUAAGUUUUAACAAUACAUCCAAAAUAACAAUAUUAUAUCGUCCUCCAACAUCUAAAAAUGAAAUCCACAUACAAAAUAUCCGAAAGUCCAAGACAUCCAAAUUGCACAUGUAUGCUCGAUCUGUAUAACACCAAACUGCACAUAUAUCAAAACUGCACAUAUAUAAAUCAAAACUGCACAUGUAUAAAUCAAAACUGCACAUAUAUAAAAACUGCACAUAUAAGUAUAACAAGGAACUUGAGGACAUGAAUUUGAAAUUACCUUCUCGUUUAAGGAAUUGACUGAGAACACACACACACACACACAACACAGAACACACACACAACACAACACAUAACACACACACACACAAAACAAAACACACACACACACAAAACAAAACACACACACACACACACACAGAGAACAUACACACACACACACACACGCACGCACACAGAACACAGAACACACACACACGCACGCACACAGAACACAGAACACACACACACGCACGCACACACAGACAGAGAACACACACACGCACAUACACACAGAUCAGAGACAAAGGCGUUUGGAGAGAGUGAGAGUUAAUCGAUAAACCCUGAAAAUUUAAAUAGUUACCUGAAAAUUUAAACAGAUCAGAGACAAAGUCGCAGCUGGUGAUGCUUUGUGGAUGGCGGCUUGUGGCGCAGAUGGUUUACAAAUUAUCAAACUUAUCAAAAGUUACCUUCAAUUGCAAGUGAUAGAAUCGGUGUUCUUUGAAAUAAUCAUAACACUUGA